rnacentral:misc_RNA from 1 species
UCAGCAUCUGAUAUCAGUAAAGAGGUAUUGAAUUCAUUUUAUAGUUGAUUUUUCCAUCUUUCCCUUAGUAUGCUGUUAAAUUUGACUUACUGUUCUACGUUGGAUGUUUUGUAUUUUUGCAUUUCCAUCCUAUUUUAUUGGUCGAGAGCUUGGGGCACCAGGAAAUUCUCUCAUAGAUGGAUAAUCCGUUUAAAAAGAUAUAGCAAAUUGAAAUGUACCAAUAUCUUCUUGCCAAAAGUUACCUUUUUUUAUGAAUUUGGGCAAUUAGUUGGUGCUGCAGGCACAAUAUAGUUGUAUGAUUGUUGAAGUGUUACCAGAUAUUCAUGUCUUAACGCUAUUACCUUUUAGCAGAAAUAUUCAAGAGG